rnacentral:rRNA from 1 species
UACGGAGGGAGCUAGCGUUGUUCGGAAUUACUGGGCGUAGAGCGCACGUAGGCGGCUUUGUGAGUUAGAGGUGAAAGCCCGGGGCUCAACCCCGGAAUUGCCUUUAAGACUGCAUCGCUUGAAUCCGAGAGAGGUGAGUGGAAUUCCGAGUGUAGAGGUGAAAUUCGUAGAUAUUCGGAAGAACACCAGUGGCGAAGGCGGCUCACUGGACCGGUAUUGACGCUGAGGUGCGAAAGCGUGGGGAGCAAACAGG